GUUCUGAUUCGGAAAUUUUUUCUCUAUCUGGGUUCCUUUUUCUACCGUCAAAUACUCAAUUGAACUAAUUAGAAAACCAUAUAUUCGGUUUAUGUCUCUUUCUAUUCACUACCUCUUCAUCAUUUUCUAGCUUAUUCUCUUUCUCUCUCUACAACUUUUUCUUCUUCUUCUGGGUUUUGAUUCUGACUGCAAGAUGAAGAAAUUUAUCUUGAAUUUGGAGGUGCAUGAUGUAAGAGACAAGCGCAAGGCCUUGAAGACGGUCUCUGCUCUUCCAGGAAUUGAUGAAAUCUCAAUGGAUAUGAAAGGUAAGAAAUUAACCAUCAUCGGAACAGUUGAUCCAGUGAGUGUAGUGAGCAAACUUCGGAAAUUUUGGCCAGCACACAUAAUCUCAGUAGGACCAGCGAAAGAGCCAGAGAAGAAAGAGGAACCAAAGAAAGAAGAGGCCAAGAAAGAGGAGGCUAAGAAGGAGGGCGAGGGCAAGAAAGAAGACGCUCCGAAGGAGGAAGGUAAGAAAGAGGAGGGUAAGAAGGAAGAAGAAGGUAAGAAGGAUGAAAAUAAGAAAGACGAGCCCAAAAAGGACGGAGAGAAGAAGGCAGAACCACAGCCACAGCCACAGCCAAUGCCGAUGCCUAUGCCAUUCCCACAUCAUCAAGGCUAUAAUCAAUCCGUGGUUGGCAUGGUACCUUAUCGGCCAUACUAUCCUCCUCCUCCUCAUAUGCAAGCUAUGCCCUAUCGUCCAUAUUAUCCUCCUCCCGCGCAAACAUACUACCAGGUUCAUCACAGCAUGGAAGAGAAUCCUAAUUCAUGUGUUAUCUGUUAAAUUGGUUCGGAGAACGAAAUGGGAUCAUAUAUAUUAUAUAUACAUAGCUCUCCGUUCUUCUUGUUUCGAGUUGGUCUAGGGUUAUAAUCUAUUACCAUGAACCGAGACUAGCAUUCAAGAACAGAGAAAAUCCAUUGUGAAUACACAAUGAUCAUGUCAUCAUAUUU
rnacentral:misc_RNA from 1 species